GAAUUUUUAUUUGAGUGUAGUACAAGUAGUUUUAUUUUUAGUUCAGUUGUUGGUCAGGGUAAAAAAAUUUGUAGAAGCUUUAAAAACUAUUAUAUUCGCGACUACGAAGUUGAGUUUGACAGCUUAUGUGUGUGAAGUGGAGGUAAACAAGAAAAGAUAAAAAAGUAAUAAAUUUUGAAACGUACCGUUUUAUGCUAUUUUCGCUACUCAGUUUGAAAUGUGAUGCUUAUUUUCCCGAGUAAAAAACAGCUGUUGGUAUCUGAAAAAAAGUAAACAACAUUUCAAAACAGAAAUUAUGAAUUAAAAUCUAUUCAUAUGUUUAAAAUUUUUUCUAUGUGCUUUAGAACUGGAUGUUUUCUACUCAUGGUGAGCCAUUAUCAAGUUAUACGUAUGGUGUGUUGGUGAACUUGCCGGAUGUUUUCAGCUUCGCUGCUGGAAUUAGCAAUUUGGUAGUCAAACGCCAACGGGUAUUCCAGGCUGGUUACCUCCUGAUAGUUGCAUUAGAUGAGGUAUACAAUGGGGGAUUUGGUGCAUUUCCCUCUUGUUUAUGUCAUCCUCUUUAAGUGCCGAACCGCGCACAAUGAAAAUCGCUGCAAAAACUACUUCGGAUAUAUAUCAGGCCACAAGAUUGAGAGAUCUGUUUCGGAAGAGUUGGGAAACUCUCAAAUUUGGAACCAUUUCGUGGGAGGUACAUGAGGUAACCGAAAGUUGAAGAAUUGCUGAUGCUGGGAGAAAAUAAUUACUAAAAAAUAAAAACUAUAUCAGGAAUUAAAAUGUUCUAAAAUAUUUUAUUACAUAAUAUAUUCGACAUAUCAACAAUUUCUCAAGCGAUAAUCAUGAGCAAACGGGCAGAAAUCUUGAGUCCACUUUAAAACUGAAAAACAAAAAUUCUUAAUCAUUGAUACGUACGUUUCAUACUUGUAAAUAGACAGCGAGUAACGCAUGUCUGGGUUUGAUUCUUACACUUACUUGAUGGAAAAUAUAAUAUAUUGAAGGUGUAGUGAAAUAGAAACUACACACACGCACAGUAUUCGUUGGCUCAAUUUUGAACAUAGUGUCUUGACAUUUUCGGGAUGGAAUGAAAUGAUAUUCCUGGCGGACACUUGUGUUUGUAUUCUUCCUUUCGUUAAUGCCCUCGUCAGCAUCAGAAACAUUGUCAAAAAUCGUUUUUGCGUAAUCAUCAAAACUGCUUUUCAGAUCCAUGUUCUACUAUAUUCAGAGAAAACAUAAUUUUACUUAAGUCUCGAUAAACUUUUUUUGUAAUGUUACGUACUAGCUCGUCAUAUAAACAUACCGUAACGUAAUGAUUUUUUCACAAAACAUCAUGUGUGCUCUUACCUAUGCGUGUUACCAGCGCCGGAAUAGAAGUUUCAUUAUCGUUUUUUCUAACACAAAACCAACUUCAAAACACAACUAAACAAAUUGAAAAGUCUAGGUAAGAGCCGUUAUCGGUUUUUUAUAUUUUUACAUGCACAAAAUCACUUUAAAAAACAGAGAAAUAAUGCAUUUAUUUAAGCGAAAAAGUUCUAUAUUUUGUUUACAUUCUCUUCACACACAGACUAAACUUUGAUAGAUGGCAGCACCGCUCCUUCUAUGUCGCGAAUUACUUGUCAAAAGAGGCACUAAUUACAGCUGUCAUAAAAUUGGUAGUGAUUGCAGAAUCAAUUACAAAAUUUUAUGAAACAUAAUCAGAAUCAUAUGGCAUUUGAAUUGUUGCCCGGGAUUGUACGUGACUAAUCGCUUGGUUUAUAUAAUAUUAUUAAUUCAAUAAUGUCUUUUUGUCGCACAAACGAUGGAAAGUAUAUUUCGUAUAAAAAGCAUACCGAAAACCUGAUAAGAUUUCAGAAUCUGUGCAACAUAUUGAAAAUGUUCGAUUACUAAUUUAUCUGUACAUCUGGCAUUUCUGGCAAUAACUAUAUUCUCGACGGCGAAUUCGGUGAGCUUUUCUCAGCGAGGGCUAACUUAGCGCACUGUACGCAUAUGCCCGAUGGUAAAUUCCCAUUGAAAAGGAAAAUGUCAAGUGUUUUGGAAUAAAAUCGUCUAGUUAGGAUGAAAGUGAUUAUAAUUAUGUUUUGUUAUUCGAAAUCCUUCAAUAACGUACCUGCUUUAGUAUUCAGUUUAUAAACAAAAUCAGCAGUGUAAUAGAAUACCGGCAAAUAUAAUUACUUAAGGUAGUGUGAACCAACAACAGGCAGAAAUAUGAGUUCCAUCGUACGAUGAUGAAUUCAUAUUAAAACAGUAUUCCUGUUAGAUUGACGAAUGCGGUAAAAACGGUCAAGUUGACUGGUGUCACGAGAAGGAUAUAACUCUACACCUUGUAGUACAGUAUUUAUUACCAUUGUAUUAUUUCAGAUAACACUGACUCAACGACUACUGAAUGAUUCGAGUGUAAGAAAUCGUGGAAAGCAACCAAAACAAAAAAAAUCGAUAUAGUAGAAUCUUCAACCAUCCAAUAAAGAAAUAUCUUGAGGGAUUGGAUUAAGGUUAUUAAAUAAAUGGUGCAAAAAAAGGUAGUCGAAAUAUUUUUUCACAAGGAUACUGUUUGUUCAAACAC